GCCUGGCAGGCUCAGUCAGUAGAGCAGGCGACUCUCAAUCUCAGGGUUGUGAGUUCGAGUCCCACGUUGGGUG
rnacentral:tRNA from 1 species